rnacentral:rRNA from 1 species
UCUGGUGCCAGCAGCCGCGGUAACUCCAGCUCCAGAAGCGUAUAUUAAAGUUGUUGCAGUUAAAAAGCUCGUAGUUGGAUCUGGGUCUCAUGGCUACGUGCCGUCACUUAUAUUCCAGGCCUGGCUACGGUCGGGUCGGGUUUGUGAGUCGGUUUCGUGGCCGUGUAACCUUUCUGCCGUGUCUGUUUCGACAGGUGCUGAUGGAUUAUCCGUUGGCAUGCUUCCAGAUGCCUUUCACCGGGUGUCGGGAGCGGACGGCUAGUUUACUUUGAACAAAUUUGAGUGCUCAAAGCAGGCUUAUGCCUGAAAAUUCUUGCAUGGAAUAAUGGAAUAGGACUUCGGUUCUAUUUUGUUGGUUUUCGGAUCCGAAGUAAUGGUUAAGAGGGACAGACGGGGGCAUUUGUAUGGCGGUGUUAGAGGUGAAAUUCUUGGAUCGCCGCCAGACAAACUACAGCGAAAGCAUUUGCCAAGGAUGUUUUCAUUGAUCUUGAGCGAAAGUCAGAGGUUCGAAGACGAUCAGAUACCGUCCUAGUUCUGACCAUAAACGAUGCCAACGACGAUCCGUGGGUG